AGAGUUUGAUUCUGGCUCAGGACGCAUUGAGGCGGCGUGCCUAACACAUGCAAGUCGAACGAGAUCCUUGGAGGGAGUGGAGCAGUGGUGCGAUAAUGCGAGGGAAUCUGCCGUUUGGUUCGGAAGAAGAGGUGGAAACGACUCCAAGGGAAGGAUGACGAUUUUGGACCAAAGAUUUAUCGGGGGAGGAUGAGCGCGCGUAGGAUUAGGGGGAUGGAGUGGUAAGAGCGCGCCAAGGCGACGAGACGAAGCUGGUCUGAGAGGAUGAUCAGGCGAGGUGGGGGUGAGACACGGCCCAGACGGGUACGGGGGGCGACAGGGGGGAAUGUUGGACAGGGGGUGAAAGCCUGAUCCAACAAUGACGGGAGGGUGAUGAGGGGAAUAGGGUUGUAAGGUUUUUUUACCGGGGAAGAUACUGACCGUGGAGGGAGAAGGAGCUCCGGCUGACUCCGUGUGAGCUGGGGGGGGAAUACGGAGGGAGUUUUUUUUGUUCGGAAUUGCUGGGAGUAAAGCGCACGUAGGCGGCUUUGUAAGUGAGAGGUGAAAGCGUGGAGCUCAACGCGAGAAUUGCGUUUAGGACUGCAGCGCUUGAAUAGAGGAGAGGUGAGUGGAAUUCCGAGUGUAGAGGUGAAAUUCGUAGAUAUUCGGAGGAACACCGAUGGCGAAGGCGGCUCAGGUGGACUGGGAUUGAGGCUGACGUGCUGAAGCGUGGGGAGGAAACAGGAUUAGAUAGGCUGGUAGUGGACGCCGUAGACGAUGAGGACUAGCUGUCACGGGACUAGGUCAUUGGGUGGCGCAGCUAACGCAUUAAGUUAUCCGCCUGGGGAGUACGGCCGCAAGGUUAAAACUCAAAUGAAUUGACGGGGGCAUGCACAAGCGGUGGAGCAUGUGGUUUAAUUAGAAGCAACGCGCAGAACCUUACCAGCGUUUGACAUGUCCGGACGAUUUCUGGAGACUGAUCUCUUCCCUUCGGGGACUGGAACACAGGUGCUGCAUGGCUGUCAGUCAGCUUGUGUCGUGAGAUGUUGGGUUAAGUCCCGCAACGAGCGCAACCCUCGCCUUUAGUUACCAUCAUUUAGUUGGGGACUCUAAAGGAACCGCCGGUGAUAAGCCGGAGGAAGGUGGGGAUGACGUCAAGUCUUCAUGGCCCUUACGCGCUGGGUUACACACGUGUUACAAUGGCGGUGACAGUGGGCAGCAAACUCGCGAGAGUGCGCUAAUCUCCAAAACCGGUCUCAGUUCGGAUUGUUGUCUGCAACUCGAGAGCAUGAAGUCGGAAUCGCUAGUAAUCGCGGAUCAGCAUGCCGCGGUGAAUACGUUCCCAGGCCUUGUACACACCGCCCGUCACACCAUGGGAGUUGGGUUCACCCGAAGGCGUUGCGCUAACUCGUAAGAGAGGCAGGCGACCACGGUGGGCUUAGCGACUGGGGUGAAGUCGUAACAAGGUAACCG
rnacentral:rRNA from 1 species